rnacentral:rRNA from 1 species
AAUGGGUCAGCGACUUAUAUUCUGUAGCAAGGUUAACCGAAUAGGGGAGCCGAAGGGAAACCGAGUCUUAACUGGGCGUUAAGUUGCAGGGUAUAGACCCGAAACCCGGUGAUCUAGCCAUGGGCAGGUUGAAGGUUGGGUAACACUAACUGGAGGACCGAACCGACUAAUGUUGAAAAAUUAGCGGAUGACUUGUGGCUGGGGGUGAAAGGCCAAUCAAACCGGGAGAUAGCUGGUUCUCCCCGAAAGCUAUUUAGGUAGCGCCUCGUGAAUUCAUCUCCGGGGGUAGAGCACUGUUUCGGCAAGGGGGUCAUCCCGACUUACCAACCCGAUGCAAACUGCGAAUACCGGAGAAUGUUAUCACGGGAGACACACGGCGGGUGCUAACGUCCGUCGUGAAGAGGGAAACAACCCAGACCGCCAGCUAAGGUCCCAAAGUCAUGGUUAAGUGGGAAACGAUGUGGGAAGGCCCAGACAGCCAGGAUGUUGGCUUAGAAGCAGCCAUCAUUUAAAGAAAGCGUAAUAGCUCACUGGUCGAGUCGGCCUGCGCGGAAGAUGUAACGGGGCUAAACCAUGCACCGAAGCUGCGGCAGCGACGCUGAUGCGUUGUUGGGUAGGGGAGCGUUCUGUAAGCCUGUGAAGGUGUGCUGUGAGGCAUGCUGGAGGUAUCAGAAGUGCGAAUGCUGACAUAAGUAACGAUAAAGCGGGUGAAAAGCCCGCUCGCCGGAAGACCAAGGGUUCCUGUCCAACGUUAAUCGGGGCAGGGUGAGUCGACCCCUAAGGCGAGGCCGAAAGGCGUAGUCGAUGGGAAACAGGUUAAUAUUCCUGUACUUGGUGUUACUGCGAAGGGGGGACGGAGAAGGCUAUGUUGGCCGGGCGACGGUUGUCCCGGUUUAAGCGUGUAGGCUGGUUUUCCAGGCAAAUCCGGAAAAUCAAGGCUGAGGCGUGAUGACGAGGCACUACGGUGCUGAAGCAACAAAUGCCCUGCUUCCAGGAAAAGCCUCUAAGCAUCAGGUAACAUCAAAUCGUACCCCAAACCGACACAGGUGGUCAGGUAGAGAAUACCAAGGCGCUUGAGAGAACUCGGGUGAAGGAACUAGGCAAAAUGGUGCCGUAACUUCGGGAGAAGGCACGCUGAUAUGUAGGUGAAGCGACUUGCUCGUGGAGCUGAAAUCAGUCGAAGAUACCAGCUGGCUGCAACUGUUUAUUAAAAACACAGCACUGUGCAAACACGAAAGUGGACGUAUACGGUGUGACGCCUGCCCGGUGCCGGAAGGUUAAUUGAUGGGGUUAGCGCAAGCGAAGCUCUUGAUCGAAGCCCCGGUAAACGGCGGCCGUAACUAUAACGGUCCUAAGGUAGCGAAAUUCCUUGUCGGGUAAGUUCCGACCUGCACGAAUGGCGUAAUGAUGGCCAGGCUGUCUCCACCCGAGACUCAGUGAAAUUGAACUCGCUGUGAAGAUGCAGUGUACCCGCGGCAAGACGGAAAGACCCCGUGAACCUUUACUAUAGCUUGACACUGAACAUUGAGCCUUGAUGUGUAGGAUAGGUGGGAGGCUUAGAAGUGUGGACGCCAGUCUGCAUGGAGCCGACCUUGAAAUACCACCCUUUAAUGUUUGAUGUUCUAACGUUGACCCGUAAUCCGGGUUGCGGACAGUGUCUGGUGGGUAGUUUGACUGGGGCGGUCUCCUCCUAAAGAGUAACGGAGGAGCACGAAGGUUGGCUAAUCCUGGUCGGACAUCAGGAGGUUAGUGCAAUGGCAUAAGCCAGCUUGACUGCGAGCGUGACGGCGCGAGCAGGUGCGAAAGCAGGUCAUAGUGAUCCGGUGGUUCUGAAUGGAAGGGCCAUCGCUCAACGGAUAAAAGGUACUCCGGGGAUAACAGGCUGAUACCGCCCAAGAGUUCAUAUCGACGGCGGUGUUUGGCACCUCGAUGUCGGCUCAUCACAUCCUGGGGCUGAAGUAGGUCCCAAGGGUAUGGCUGUUCGCCAUUUAAAGUGGUACGCGAGCUGGGUUUAGAACGUCGUGAGACAGUUCGGUCCCUAUCUGCCGUGGGCGCUGGAGAACUGAGGGGGGCUGCUCCUAGUACGAGAGGACCGGAGUGGACGCAUCACUGGUGUUCGGGUUGUCAUGCCAAUGGCACUGCCCGGUAGCUAAAUGCGGAAGAGAUAAGUGCUGAAAGCAUCUAAGCACGAAACUUGCC